rnacentral:rRNA from 1 species
AUUGAACGCUGGCGGCAGGCUUAACACAUGCAAGUCGAGCGAGCCGCGGACUGGUGUGUAAUGUCUGGGAAACUGCCUGUUGGAGGGGGAUAACUACUGGAACCGUUAGCUCAUACCGCCUACCAUCAUAUGUUCCCAGAUCGGAUUAGCUAGUAGGUGGGGUAAUGGCUCACCUAGGCGACGAUGCCUAGCUGGUCUGAGAGGAUGACCAGCCACACGGGAACUGAGACACGGUCCAGACUCCUACGGGAGGCAGCAGUGGGGAAUAUUGCACAAUGGGCGCAAGCCUGAUGCAGCCAUGCCGCGUGUGUGAAGAAGGCCUUCGUGUUGUAAAGCACUUUCAGCGAGGAGGCGUUACUCGCAGAAGAAGCACCGGCUAACUCCGUGCCAGCCGCCGCGGUAAUUC